CAGUUCUAGGGUCAGCUCAUGCAUGGUGUUUGUGUGCCCACAAUAAUUCAGCACCUUGGCUUUCUGCCAAUGAUCUUGGAGUUCCAGAAAUUAUAGACAUGAUUAGACCUCUAUAUACAGCUAUAAAAUUUAUACUAUUAUAAUACUAUAUCUCCCUUAUAACCAAAGGUUAAUAUUACCGCUUUAAGAUGAUAAUUUUUAUCUCGGUGAGUAGUAGGAAAGGUAAUGACUUUUCUAGCAAUAAACCGUAGUCGUAACUGGAAAGUUGAUCGACCACAUUGGGUCUGAAAAAAACCCAAUGCUUUUAUGUACAGCAGUGAGGAAUAUUGGUCAAUGGCCGAAAGGCUGAACCAGUAACUUGGAAGAAUGUCUAUGUAACUUGUAUUGUUACAUUCGCGAUUAACUCGCAUAAAAUUCUAAAUAGAUUGUAUAUAAUGACAUAAUCUAUUUAUAAGUCUUGACCAAACUACGUGCCAGCAGUCGCGGUAAUACGUAGGAGGCUAGUGUUAGUUAUCUUUAUUGGGUUUAAAGGGUAAGUAGACGGUAAAUUAAACUCUAAAAGAGUACUUUUUUACUAGAGUUAUAUGAGAGAAGGAAGAAUUUCUGGAGUAGAGAUAAAAUUUGAUGAUACCAGGAGGACUGUCAACG
rnacentral:ncRNA from 1 species